GAUGAACGCUGGCGGCGUGCUUAACACAUGCAAGUCGAACGAUGAAGCCCAGCUUGCUGGGUGGAUUAGUGGCGAACGGGUGAGUAACACGUGAGUAACCUGCCCUUAACUCUGGGAUAAGCCUGGGAAACUGGGUCUAAUACCGGAUAGGAGCGUCCACCGCAUGGUGGGUGUUGGAAAGAUUUAUCGGUUUUGGAUGGACUCGCGGCCUAUCAGCUUGUUGGUGAGGUAUUGGCUCACCAAGGCGACGACGGGUAGCCGGCCUGAGAGGGUGACCGGCCACACUGGGACUGAGACACGGCCCAGACUCCUACGGGAGGCAGCAGUGGGGAAUAUUGCACAAUGGGCGCAAGCCUGAUGCAGCGACGCCGCGUGAGGGAUGACGGCCUUCGGGUUGUAAACCUCUUUCAGUGGGGAAGAAGCGAAAGUGACGGUACCUGCAGAAGAAGCACCGGCUAACUACGUG
rnacentral:rRNA from 1 species